rnacentral:rRNA from 1 species
UCGAGUGGGUUUAGGCCCACGGCAAACGGGUGAGUAAUAUCUAGGAACGUACCACUAGUUGAGCAUAACCUACCGAAAGGUAGAGCAAUUCUCAAUGUGAUCGCAAGAUUAAAGUCGCAAGACGCUAGUGAAGCGGCCUGGACACCAUCAGCUUGUUGGUAAGGUAAAAGCUUACCAAGGCUAUGACGGUUAGGGGUCCCGAGAGGGAAAACCCCCACACUGGAACUGAGACACGGUCCAG